UUAAAAUAAAUAGUUCUUUAAUUUUUUUUUUAGAAGUAUAAUUAAAAAAGUAUUUUUUAUGAAAUUUUUUGAAAACUAUAGAAGAUUAGUACUGUGAAGGAAAGUUGAAAUAAUUGAAAAAUAAUUAUAAAAAAAGUACUAUUAAGUUUUGGUACCUUUUGUAUUAGUGAUUAUCUAAAUAAUUUUGUAAAAAUUUUUCUCGAAAAUAAAAGAUCUAAAUAAACUUUACAGUUUUUGUUUCAAAAAAAUUUUUUAAGUUUAUUUAGUUGUGAAAUUCUUAUCGCUUUUAUUUAUAUCUAGUAACUUUAGAAAAAAAUUUAGUUUAAAAUGAUUAGGAUAAUUUUAUUUAAAAUUUAUUUUUAAUUUAUUUUUAAAUUUUUGGGGAUGAGCUCAAAAAUUUAUAUAAAAGAAAAAAGAACCCUAAUUUUUAUAUAGGCUUAGAAUUAGCCAUAAAAUAUUGUUAUAAAAUAUAACUUUAGAAAUAAGAUUUAUUUUUCUUUUUAUAUUAUAAAGUUAAUAAUAGAAUUUUUUUUAUUUUGUAAAUAUGGUAAUAUUAGUAGAUAAAAUUUUAAAGAUUUUUUUUUAAAAAUCUUCUUAAAUUUUUUUUAUAAUAAAUAUAACAAAAGAACUCGGCAAAUAUAAUUUCCGAAUGUUUAACAAAAACAUUUCUUCUUAGCUUAAGAAGUAAGGCCUGCUCACUGAAGAUUUAAAGAGCCGCAGUAUUCUAACUGUGCUAAGGUAGCAUAAUCAUUAGUCUUUUAAUUGGAGACUGGUAUGAAUGGCUAAACGAGAAAUUAACUUUUUUUGUUAUAAAAAUCAAAUUUAAUUUUUUAGUGAAAAAGCUAAAAUUUUUCAGAAAGACGAGAAGACCCUAUAGAGUUUUAUAUUAAUUUUAUAUUAAUUUUUAAUAGAUUUUUAAAAAAUAAGUAUAAAAAAAUAUUUUGUUGGGGCGACAUUUAGAUAAAAAAAACUCUUUUUUUUAAAAAUUUUUAUAAAAAUAUUUUUUGAUCCUUUAAAAAAGAUCAAAAGAAAAAAUUACCUUAGGGAUAACAGCGUAAUCUUUUUUUAGAGUUCUAAUCGACAAAAAGGUUUGCGACCUCGAUGUUGGACUAAAAUUUAGGCAGGGUGCAGCAGUUCUGCUUUUAGGUCUGUUCGACCUAUAAUAUUUUACACGAUCUGAGUUCAGACCGGCGUAAGCCAGGUUGGUUUCUAUCUUCUGAUAAAAUUAUUUCAGCUUAGUACGAAAGGAUUGGUUGAUUAUAAAUUUUAUAAUAUAAAGAAUAUCAUUAAAGUAUCUUAA
rnacentral:rRNA from 1 species